ensembl:snRNA U6 U6 spliceosomal RNA
GUGCUCGCUUUGGCAGCAUAUAUACUAAAAUUUGGAACGAUACAGAGAAGAUUAGCAUGGUCUCUGUGCAAAUUUGAGACCAACCCAGGCUACAAAGUGAG